rnacentral:rRNA from 1 species
UACGUAGGUGGCAAGCGUUAUCCGGAUUUAUUGGGUGUAAAGGGCGUGUAGGCGGGAGCGCAAGUCAGAUGUGAAAACUCAGGGCUUAACCCUGAGCCUGCAUUUGAAACUGUGUUUCUUGAGUGCUGGAGAGGCAAUCGGAAUUCCGUGUGUAGCGGUGAAAUGCGUAGAUAUAUGGAGGAACACCGGUGGCGAAAGCGGCUCUCUGGCCUGUAACUGACACUGAGGCUCGAAAGCGUGGGGAGCAAACAGG